rnacentral:rRNA from 1 species
GUCCACGCCCUAAACGAUGUCAACUAGUUGUGGGUGGGGUUAAACCCAUUCGUAACGCAGCCAACGCGUGAAGUUGACCGCCUGGGGAGUACGGCCGCAAGGUUAAAACUCAAAGGAAUUGACGGGGACCCGCACAAGCGGUGGAUUAUGUGGAUUAAUUCGAUGCAACGCGAAAAACCUUACCUACCCUUGACAUGUCCGGAAGUCUGCCGAGAGGUGGAUGUGCCCCGAAAGGGAACCGGAACACAGGUGCUGCAUGGCUGUCGU